rnacentral:miRNA from 12 species
AUCUAUGAUUUCGUCGGUGUG